AGCGAACGCUGGCGGCAGGCCUAACACAUGCAAGUCGAGCUGCCCUUCGGGGCAGCGGCGGACGGGUGAGUAACGCGUGGGAACGUGCCCUUUGGUACGGAACAACUGAGGGAAACUUCAGCUAAUACCGUAUGUGCCCUACGGGGGAAAGAUUUAUCGCCAUUGGAGCGGCCCGCGUUAGAUUAGCUAGUUGGUAGGGUAAUGGCCUACCAAGGCGACGAUCUAUAGCUGGUCUGAGAGGAUAAUCAGCCACACUGGGACUGAGACACGGCCCAGACUACUACGGGAGGCAGCAGUGGGGAAUCUUGCGCAAUGGGCGAAAGCCUGACGCAGCCAUGCCGCGUGAAUGAUGAAGGUCUUAGGAUUGCAAAAUUCUUUCACCGGGGACGAUAAUGACGGUACCCGGAGAAGAAGCCCCGGCUAACUUCGUGCCAGCAGCCGCCGUAACAC
rnacentral:rRNA from 1 species